UACGGGGGGGGCAAGCGUUGUUCGGAAUUACUGGGCGUAAAGGGCUCGUAGGCGGCCAACUAAGUCCGACGUGAAAUCCCCAGGCUUAACCUGGGAACUGCGUCGGAUACUGGAUGGCUUGAAUCCGGGAGAGGGAUGCGGAAUUCCAGGUGUAGCGGUGAAAUGCGUAGAUAUCUGGAGGAACACCGGUGGCGAAGGCGGCAUCCUGGACCAACACUGACGCUGAGGAGCGAAAGCCAGGGGAGCAAACGGGG
rnacentral:rRNA from 1 species